AACGAACGCUGGCGGCAGGCCUAACACAUGCAAGUCGAACGAGAACGGAUUAUAGCUUGCUAUAAUUGUCAGCUAAGUGGCGCACGGGUGAGUAAUGUAUAGGUAAUAUGCCUCUUACUAAGGGAUAGCAAAUGGAAACGUUUGCUAAUACCUUAUACUCCUUAUUAACAGAAGUUAAUAAGGGAAAGAUUUAUUGGUAAGAGAUUAGCCUGUAUUGUAUCAGUUAGUUGGUGGGGUAAUGGCUUACCAAGACUAUGACACAUAACUGGUUUGAGAGGAUGAUCAGUCACUGGAACUGAGACACGGUCCAGACUCCUACGGGAGGCAGCAGUGGGGAAUAUUGCACAAUGGACGAAAGUCUGAUGCAGCAACGCCGCGUGGAGGAUGACACAUUUCGGUGCGUAAACUCCUUUUAUAUGAGAAGAUAAUGACGGUAUUAUAUGAAUAAGCACCGGCUAACUCCGUGCCAGCAGCCGCCGUAACAC
rnacentral:rRNA from 1 species